CUCCUCAUUCUGGGCUCCAUGCCAACAACCUAAGGAUGACAAAUGUGUAACAAUCUCCAGCAUCACAUGACGGUACAGGCGUCUCUGAGCCUCAUCAAGGAGGUCCCACU